rnacentral:rRNA from 1 species
UUACCCGCUGAACUUAAGCAUAUCAAUAAGCGGAGGAAAAGAAACUAACAAGGAUUCCCUCAGUAACGGCGAGUGAACAGGGAAGAGCCCAGCACCGAAGCCUGUGGCAGUUUUGCUGCUAGGCAAUGUGGUGUGUGGGUCGGCUCGCGGGACCGUCACUCCACUCGAAGUCCAGCAUUGAGUAUGGUUGUUUGGAUUUGGCCCAUAGAGGGUGAGAGGCCCGUACGGGUGGAGGUUCAGACAUGUGCGACGGUUCACCAGGCCGGCCUC